AUUGAACGCUGGCGGCAGGCCUAACACAUGCAAGUCGAGCGGGGUUUUCGGACCUAGCGGCGGACGGGUGAGUAAUGCGUAGGAAGCUACCCGAUAGAGGGGGAUACCAGUUGGAAACGACUGUUAAUACCGCAUAAUGUCUACGGACCAAAGUGUGGGACCUUCGGGCCACAUGCUAUCGGAUGCGCCUACGUGGGAUUAGCUAGUUGGUGGGGUAAUGGCUCACCAAGGCGACGAUCCCUAGCUGGUUUGAGAGGAUGAUCAGCCACACUGGAACUGAGACACGGUCCAGACUCCUACGGGAGGCAGCAGUGGGGAAUAUUGGACAAUGGGCGCAAGCCUGAUCCAGCCAUGCCGCGUGUGUGAAGAAGGCCUUCGGGUUGUAAAGCACUUUCAGUAGGGAGGAAGGGUGUUGUGUUAAUAGCACAGCAUUUUGACGUUACCUACAGAAGAAGCUCCGGCUAACUCUGUGCCAGCAGCCGCGGUAAAAC
rnacentral:rRNA from 1 species